rnacentral:rRNA from 1 species
UACGUAGGUGGCAAGCGUUAUCCGGAAUUAUUGGGCGUAAAGAGCUCGUAGGCGGUUUGUCGCGUCUGCCGUGAAAGUCCGGGGCUCAACUCCGGAUCUGCGGUGGGUACGGGCAGACUAGAGUGAUGUAGGGGAGACUGGAAUUCCUGGUGUAGCGGUGAAAUGCGUAGAUAUCUGGAGGAACACCGGUGGCGAAGGCGGCGUUCUGGACUGCAACUGACACUGUAAAACGAAAGCCAGGGGAGCAAACGGGG